UGUAAUUACUACGCGAUCGGUAGUGCCGUGCAAAGUGUCUCACAAUUAUUGCGUAUACUAAUCUUAAUUGACUAAUCUUAAUUAAUCUUGUUUUCGGGAGUGAAUGUGAGUGUAACGAAGAAAUAGCAAAGGAGAGGAAAAGCAAGUCUGAAAAAGCACUGGGCAACGUCCUAAGCAACAAUAUCCGAUUGAUGCAACAACCCUGAUGAUCUGUGAGAAGGAGCAGGCCUAGGAGAGGCAUCCUGCACCGGCGGAACAACCUGAUGACAACUAUCUUCGAUAACAACAACUCCGCUGUUGCGCAUCAGUGUCG